AUUGAACGCUGGCGGCAGGCCUAACACAUGCAAGUCGAACGGUAACAGGAAGAAGCUUGCUUCUUUGCUGACGAGUGGCGGACGGGUGAGUCAUGUCUGGGAAACUGCCUGCUGGAGGGGGAUAACUACUGGAAACGGUAGCUAAUACCGCAUAACGUCGCAAGACCAAAGAGGGGGACCUACGGGCCUCUGGCCAUCGGAUGUGCCCAGAUGGGAUUAGCUAGUAGGUGGGGUAACGGCUCACCUAGGCGACGAUCCCUAGCUGGUCUGAGAGGAUGACCAGCCACACUGGAACUGAGACACGGUCCAGACUCCUACGGGAGGCAGCAGUGGGGAAUAUUGCACAAUGGGCGAAAGCCUGAUGCAGCCAUGCCGCGUGUAUGAAGAAGGCCUUCGGGUUGUAAAGUACUUUCAGCGGGGAGGAAGGGAGUAAAGUUAAUACCUUUGCUCAUUGACGUUACCCGCAGAAGAAGCACCGGCUAACUCCGUG
rnacentral:rRNA from 1 species